AACAAACGCUGGCGGCGUGCCUAACACAUGCAAGUCGUACGAGAAAGUCCGCUUCGGUGGAUAAGUAAAGUGGCGCACGGGUGAGUAACGCGUGGAUAAUCUACCCUUAAGUCUGGAAUAACUUAUCGAAAGGUGAACUAAUACCGGAUAAUAUCCCGAAUUCCUCGGAAAUCGGGAUCAAAGGAGGCCUCUGCUUGCAAGCUUUCGCUGAAGGAUGAGUCCGCGUACCAUUAGCUAGUUGGCAGGGUAAUGGCCUACCAAGGUUAUGAUGGUUAGCUGGUCUGAGAGGAUGAUCAGCCACACUGGAACUGAGACACGGUCCAGACACCUACGGGUGGCUG
rnacentral:rRNA from 1 species